GGUCGCGUGGCCCAAUGGCAAGGCGUCUGACUACGAAUCAGGAGAUUGUGGGUUCGAUCCCCACCGUGACCU